rnacentral:rRNA from 1 species
GUUAAGCGACUAAGCGUACACGGUGGAUGCCCUGGCAGUCAGAGGCGAUGAAGGACGUGCUAAUCUGCGAUAAGCGUCGGUAAGGUGAUAUGAACCGUUAUAACCGGCGAUUUCCGAAUGGGGAAACCCAGUGUGAUUCGUCACACUAUCAUUAACUGAAUCCAUAGGUUAAUGAGGCGAACCGGGGGAACUGAAACAUCUAAGUACCCCGAGGAAAAGAAAUCAACCGAGAUUCCCCCAGUAGCGGCGAGCGAACGGGGAGCAGCCCAGAGCCUGAAUCAGUGUGUGUGUUAGUGGAAGCGUCUGGAAAGGCGCGCGAUACAGGGUGACAGCCCCGUACACAAAAAUGCACAUGCUGUGAGCUCGAUGAGUAGGGCGGGACACGUGGUAUCCUGUCUGAAUAUGGGGGGACCAUCCUCCAAGGCUAAAUACUCCUGACUGACCGAUAGUGAACCAGUACCGUGAGGGAAAGGCGAAAAGAACCCCGGCGAGGGGAGUGAAAAAGAACCUGAAACCGUGUACGUACAAGCAGUGGGAGCACGCUUAGGCGUGUGACUGCGUACCUUUUGUAUAAUGGGUCAGCGACUUAUAUUCUGUAGCAAGGUUAACCGAAUAGGGGAGCCGAAGGGAAACCGAGUCUUAACUGGGCGUUAAGUUGCAGGGUAUAGACCCGAAACCCGGUGAUCUAGCCAUGGGCAGGUUGAAGGUUGGGUAACACUAACUGGAGGACCGAACCGACUAAUGUUGAAAAAUUAGCGGAUGACUUGUGGCUGGGGGUGAAAGGCCAAUCAAACCGGGAGAUAGCUGGUUCUCCCCGAAAGCUAUUUAGGUAGCGCCUCGUGAAUUCAUCUCCGGGGGUAGAGCACUGUUUCGGCAAGGGGGUCAUCCCGACUUACCAACCCGAUGCAAACUGCGAAUACCGGAGAAUGUUAUCACGGGAGACACACGGCGGGUGCUAACGUCCGUCGUGAAGAGGGAAACAACCCAGACCGCCAGCUAAGGUCCCAAAGUCAUGGUUAAGUGGGAAACGAUGUGGGAAGGCCCAGACAGCCAGGAUGUUGGCUUAGAAGCAGCCAUCAUUUAAAGAAAGCGUAAUAGCUCACUGGUCGAGUCGGCCUGCGCGGAAGAUGUAACGGGGCUAAACCAUGCACCGAAGCUGCGGCAGCGACGCUUAUGCGUUGUUGGGUAGGGGAGCGUUCUGUAAGCCUGCGAAGGUGUGCUGUGAGGCAUGCUGGAGGUAUCAGAAGUGCGAAUGCUGACAUAAGUAACGAUAAAGCGGGUGAAAAGCCCGCUCGCCGGAAGACCAAGGGUUCCUGUCCAACGUUAAUCGGGGCAGGGUGAGUCGACCCCUAAGGCGAGGCCGAAAGGCGUAGUCGAUGGGAAACAGGUUAAUAUUCCUGUACUUGGUGUUACUGCGAAGGGGGGACGGAGAAGGCUAUGUUGGCCGGGCGACGGUUGUCCCGGUUUAAGCGUGUAGGCUGGUUUUCCAGGCAAAUCCGGAAAAUCAAGGCUGAGGCGUGAUGACGAGGCACUACGGUGCUGAAGCAACAAAUGCCCUGCUUCCAGGAAAAGCCUCUAAGCAUCAGGUAACAUCAAAUCGUACCCCAAACCGACACAGGUGGUCAGGUAGAGAAUACCAAGGCGCUUGAGAGAACUCGGGUGAAGGAACUAGGCAAAAUGGUGCCGUAACUUCGGGAGAAGGCACGCUGAUAUGUAGGUGAAGCGACUUGCUCGUGGAGCUGAAAUCAGUCGAAGAUACCAGCUGGCUGCAACUGUUUAUUAAAAACACAGCACUGUGCAAACACGAAAGUGGACGUAUACGGUGUGACGCCUGCCCGGUGC